UACGUAGGGGCCUAGCGUUGUCCGGAUUUAUUGGGCGUAAAGAGCUCGUAGGCGGUCUGUCGCGUCUGCUGUGAAAACUCAGGGCUUAACCCUGAGCUUGCAGUGGGUACGGGCAGACUAGAGUGCGGUAGGGGAGACUGGAAUUCCUGGUGUAGCGGUGAAAUGACGCAGAUAUCAGGAAGAACACCCGUGGCGGAAGGCGGCUCUCUGGGACGGUAC
rnacentral:rRNA from 1 species